GCCAAAUACAGAGUGAUAAUGAGGUUUGUGAUACAAUCUCAAAAAGAUUUCUCAAACAUCUCACUUAUCUUCUGAUUGGUUAGUUGCAUGUUGAUAAUGUGUUUAUAAAGGACACAUCUCACUGCUGUUUGAAUAUCAUACCUGCUUCAGAGGACUCACUGAGGUGAUUUACUGCAAAGCCAUCCAAGGUUAUCAAGAAUCAUGAAAUCUUUCUUUAUUGUUGCCUGUGUCAUCGGACUCUGCUGUGUUGCGCUGGCAGAUGAUGAGCAACACAGAGAGAAGCGAAGCAGUUCCAUAGAG